rnacentral:rRNA from 1 species
GACGAACGCUGGCGGCGUGCUUAACACAUGCAAGUCGAACGAUGACGACCGAGCUUGCUCGGUCUGAUUAGUGGCGAACGGGUGAGUAACACGUGAGCAACCUGCCCUUCACUCUGGGAUAACUUCGGGAAAUCGGGGCUAAUACCGGAUAUGAGCUCCUGUCGCAUGGCGGGUGUUGGAAAGUUUUUCGGUGAAGGAUGGGCUCGCGGCCUAUCAGUUUGUUGGUGAGGUAGUGGCUCACCAAGGCGAUGACGGGUAGCCGGCCUGAGAGGGCGACCGGCCACACUGGGACUGAGACACGGCCCAGACUCCUACGGGAGGCAGCAGUGGGGAAUAUUGCACAAUGGGCGAAAGCCUGAUGCAGCGACGCCGCGUGAGGGAUGACGGCCUUCGGGUUGUAAACCUCUUUCAGCAGGGAAGAAGCGAAAGUGACGGUACCUGCAGAAGAAGCGCCGGCUAACUACGUG